rnacentral:rRNA from 1 species
AAGUCGUAACAAGGUUUCCGUAGGUGAACCUGCGGAAGGAUCAUUAAUGAAUUUCUGGUUGCGCGAGGGGAGAGAUCCUCGAGCGCGAUUAUUUCAAUUAAAUCCUGUGAACCUGGAAUAAUUUUGUUUUUAUUGCUUGGCGGAGAGUCUGCUGUGGCCUCGUCCUGGCAGAGUCCCGCCGGCAGUAUAUUAUUUUAAACCAUGUUUGAUUGAGUUGUCUGAAUAAAACAUAAAAAAAGCUUAAAACUUUCAACAACGGAUCUCUUGGUUCUCGCAUCGAUGAAGAACGCAGCGAAAUGCGAUACGUAAUGUGAAUUGCAGAAUUUGUGAAUCAUCGAAUCUUUGAACGCACAUUGCGCUCUCUGGUAUUCCGGAGAGCAUGCCUGUUUGAGCGUCAUUAAACUCCUCAAUCUUAUACUUUUUCGAGUAUGAGACUGGUCCUGGGCAGCGUGCGGUAAGAUCGUACUUGUCCGAAAUGGAUUGCAAAGAAGACUUCGUAAUAAAAAACUAUUUUGUUCUCGAAGGCUUUUGNCAAUAUCAAAGCAGCCCCUUAAGUCGGGGCAGCAAAUUCUAAUUUUGACCUCAAAUCAGGUAGGACUACGCGCUGAACUUAAGCAUAUCAAUAAGCGCAGGAAAAGAAACCAACAGGGAUUCCCUUAGUAAUGGCGAAUGAAGCGGGAAAAGCUCAAAUUUGAAAUCUGGCUGUCGUAUUGGCAGUCCGAGUUGUAAUUUCUAGAGACAGCUUUGNCCACCCACAUUGCCCAAGUUCCUUGGAACAGGACGUCACAGAGGGUGAGANUCCCGUGUGCGGCAGUGAAACGGGGGCUAUGUAUAGCGUCUUCAAAGAGUCGAGUUGUUUGGGAAUGCAGCUCAAAAUGGGUGGUAAAUUUCAUCUAAAGCUAAAUAUUGGCGAGAGACCGAUAGCGAACAAGUAGAGUGAUCGAAGGAUGAAAAGAACUUUGAAAAGAGAGUUAAACAGUACGUGAAAUUGUUGAAAGGGAAGCGCUUGGCGUUAGACAGAGCCUUGGGUGAUCAUCGGUUUCGAAAUUCGGGCCGUGCACUCUCCCCUGGCUGGGCCAACAUCGGUUUCUGGCGUGUAGACAAAGAGAUCUGGAAUGUGACUGUUUCGGCAGUGUUAUAGCCAGAGCUGUCCUGUACACAGCUGAGACCGAGGACUGCGAGCUUCGUGCUCAAGGAUGUUGGCAUAAUGGCGCUCAGCGACC